rnacentral:rRNA from 1 species
UACAGAGGGGGCGAGCGUUGUUCGGAAUUACUGGGCGUAAAGGGCGCGUAGGCGGCCUUCUAAGUCGAACGUGAAAUCCCCGGGCUCAACCCGGGAACUGCGUCCGAUACUGGGAGGCUUGAAUCCGGGAGAGGGAUGUGGAAUUCCAGGUGUAGCGGUGAAAUGCGUAGAUAUCUGGAGGAACACCGGUGGCGAAGGCGGCAUCCUGGACCGGUAUUGACGCUGAGGCGCGAAAAGCCAGGGGAGCAAACGGGG